AUUUACAUAGAUGUUUUUAAGUCAAAACUGUUUGUAACAGUUUCACAGCCAUAUUGCAUAGUACCAAUUGGUUUUUGGACUCAUAUUUUUGACUAUGUUCAUUGUCACUAUAACAUCAGAGAUUCAAGAAGAAAAAUAUCAGACAAGUGGACAACCGUGGACAUGUAGAAAACGUCCAGUAACCAUCAGAUUUUAAACUAUACUGAAAAAUGUUGCACUCAACUGUGGCUCUUU